rnacentral:rRNA from 1 species
UACGUAGGUGGCAAGCGUUAUCCGGAAUUAUUGGGUGUAAAGGGAGCGUAGGCGGGAAAGCAAGUUGAAUGUUUAAGGUACGGGCUCAACCUGUACAAGCGUUCAAAACUGUUUUUCUUGAGUGGAGUAGAGGUAAGCGGAAUUCCUAGUGUAGCGGUGAAAUGCGUAAAUAUUAGGAGGAACACCAGUGGCGAAGGCGGCUUACUGGGCUUUAACUGACGCUGAGGCUCGAAAGCGUGGGUAGCAAACAGG